rnacentral:tRNA from 1 species
GCAGCUUUAGCUUAAUGGUUAUGGCGUCUGACUUCGAAUUAGAAGGUUGGAGGUUCGAGUCCUUCAAGUUGCU